AUUGAACGCUGGCGGCAGGCCUAACACAUGCAAGUCGAGCGGAUGAAGGGAGCUUGCUCCUGGAUUCAGCGGCGGGCGGGUGAGUAAUGCCUAGGAAUCUGCCUGGCAGUGGGGGAUAACGUCCGGAAACGGGCGCUAAUACCGCAUACGUCCUGAGGGUGAAAGUGGGGGAUCUUCGGACCGCACGCUAUCAGAUGAGCCUAGGUCGGAUUAGCUAGCUGGUGGGGUAAAGGCCUACCAAGGCGACGAUCCGUAACUGGACUGAGAGGAUGAUCAGUCACACUGGAACUGGGACACGGUCCAGGCUCCUACGGGAGGCAGCAGUGGGGAAUAUUGGACAAUGGGCGAAAGCCUGAUCCAGCCAUGCCGCGUGUGUGAAGAAGGUCUUCGGAUUGUAAAGCACUUUAAGUUGGGAGGAAGGGCAGUAAGUUAAUACCUUGCUGUUUUGACGUUACCAACAGAAUAAGCACCGGCUAACUUCGUG
rnacentral:rRNA from 1 species